rfam:Triticum urartu cultivar G1812 contig679229, whole genome shotgun sequence.
CACAUACUCCCUCCGUCUGAAAAUACUUGUCAUCAAAAUGGAUAAAUAGGGAUGUAUCUAGAACUAAUAUACGUCUAGAUACAUCCCCUUUUAUUCAUUUUAAUGACAAGUAUUUCCGAACGGAGGGAGUACAAC